CCCGCCUCCGCCCACGGGACAGCCGCCCCCUCCCUGGGGUUUGAUGAGCUGCAGCCCUGGGCCCCAGGGUCAGGCCUGUGCCCUGCAGGCCAUGGGUCUGGAGUGCCUCCCCUGGACGUCGUGUGCCCAGGGGUGGAGCCUGCUAGGAAGUCCAGGUGGAGAGCAGGGGGCGCCUGGCAUGGGGUGAGGAGGCCCAGGGCGUGGAUGUGGGGACACCAGCGCCCACAGGGGAGUCACCUCGCAAGCCGCUCUGCUGCUGGAGAGGAAAGGACAGCCCUGUAGCCAGGCCAGGCCCCGGGUCCACCCAGGGCCACCGGAGCACACUCACGGGGAGGCUCGUGGGCAGAUGUACCCAUCAGUGGCCUCCAGGUCCGCUGAGGGUAGAGUGCCCAAGGCCAGCUGCCCCGGUGGCUGAGCGGGGUGCGUCUUUCCUCAGAUGCCAUCAGCCACCGGGAGGGACAGCACCAGGCAGCCACUCUGGAAGGACCCAUGUGUCCCCGUGAGGUGCAGGGCCUGGUCAGCUGGGCCUGGAGGGAGGAGAGAGAGCCCGGCGAGCCCUGGGGCCCAGGUCCUGUCCGGGUGGCGAGGUGCUCUGGAGGAGAGGCAGGAACGGUCGCGCACAGCUGUGAGUCCACUGAAGCCACCAAACCCGGCACGAAGACGGUGGAACUCAGCCACACAGUGCCACGCCUGUAUCCUCGACCUCAGGAGGCUGAGGCAGGAGGACUGCAAGUUCAAAGCCAGCCUCGAGAAGACCCUGUCUCAAAUAAAAAGAUGUCUCCGUGCCACCCAAUCCUGCCUGCAAGGCCAUCUCUUUCUGGACACUCUCAGUUUCAUUGUAUAGUCUUUUAAUGAAAAGGAACGGGAAGGUA